GCCGGUGUGGCUCAGGGGUAGAGCAGCGCACUCGUAAUGCGCAGGUCGCGGGUUCGAAUCCCGCCAUCGGCUCCA
rnacentral:tRNA from 2 species